GAGAUACUAGUAAAACCAAUUACACUGCCUUGUCGAGGCAGAAUUGUGGGUUAAAUCCCCGCGUGUCUU
rnacentral:tRNA from 1 species